rnacentral:rRNA from 1 species
GAUGAACGCUGGCGGCCUGCCUAAUACAUGCAAGUCGAGCGAACGGACGAGAAGCUUGCUUCUCUGAUGUUAGCGGCGGACGGGUGAGUAACACGUGGAUAACCUACCUAUAAGACUGGGAUAACUUCGGGAAACCGGAGCUAAUACCGGAUAAUAUUUUGAACCGCAUGGUUCAAAAGUGAAAGACGGUCUUGCUGUCACUUAUAGAUGGAUCCGCGCUGCAUUAGCUAGUUGGUAAGGUAACGGCUUACCAAGGCAACGAUGCAUAGCCGACCUGAGAGGGUGAUCGGCCACACUGGAACUGAGACACGUUCCAGACUCCUACGGGAGGCAGCAGUAGGGAAUCUUCCGCAAUGGGCGAAAGCCUGACGGAGCAACGCCGCGUGAGUGAUGAAGGUCUUCGGAUCGUAAAACUCUGUUAUUAGGGAAGAACAUAUGUGUAAGUAACUGUGCACAUCUUGACGGUACCUAAUCAGAAAGCCACGGCUAACUACGUG